GACGAACCGUGCGAACGUUGUUCGGAAUCACUGGGCUUAAAGGGCGCGUAGGCGGGCCGCCGCGUCCGGGGUGAAAUCCUCCCGCUCAACGGGAGAACGGCCUCGGAUACGGGCGGCCUGGAGGCGGGUAGGGGCACGCGGAACUGUGGGUGGAGCGGUGAAAUGCGUUGAGAUCCACAGGAACUCCGGUGGCGAAGGCGGCGUGCUGGACCCGUCCUGACGCUGAGGCGCGAAAGCUAGGGGAGCAAACGGG
rnacentral:rRNA from 1 species